GACAGAGGGUGCAAACGUUGUUCGGAAUUACUGGGCGUAAAGCGCGUGUAGGCGGCCCUGCAAGUCGGGUGUGAAAUCCCACGGCUCAACCGUGGAAGUGCACUCGAAACUGCAGGGCUAGAGUCCUGGAGAGGAAGGUGGAAUGCUUGGUGUAGAGGUGAAAUUCGUAGAUAUCAAGCGGAACACCGGUGGCGAAGGCGGCCUUCUGGACAGUGACUGACGCUGAGACGCGAAAAGCGUGGGGAGCAAACAGG
rnacentral:rRNA from 1 species